rnacentral:rRNA from 1 species
GAUGAACGCUGUCGGCGUGCCUAAUACAUGCAAGUCGAGCGAACGGACGAGAAGCUUGCUUCUCUGAUGUUAGCGGCGGACGGGUGAGUAACACGUGGAUAACCUACCUAUAAGACUGGGAUAACUUCGGGAAACCGGAGCUAAUACCGGAUAAUAUUUUGAACCGCAUGGUUCAAAAGUGAAAGACGGUCUUGCUGUCACUUAUAGAUGGAUCCGCGCUGCAUUAGCUAGUUGGUAAGGUAACGGCUUACCAAGGCAACGAUGCAUAGCCGACCUGAGAGGGUGAUCGGCCACACUGGAACUGAGACACGGUCCAGACUCCUACGGGAGGCAGCAGUAGGGAAUCUUCCGCAAUGGGCGAAAGCCUGACGGAGCAACGCCGCGUGAGUGAUGAAGGUCUUCGGAUCGUAAAACUCUGUUAUUAGGGAAGAACAUAUGUGUAAGUAACUGUGCACAGCUUGACGGUACCUAAUCAGAAAGCCACGGCUAACUACGUG